GGGCAAUUCUUUUGGGUCUAGAACUGACGCUGAGGAGCGAAAACGUGGGGAGCGAACCGGACUAUUAUACCCUGGUAGUCCACGCCGUGAACGAUGAGUGCUAAGUGUUUGGGGGUUUCCGCCCCUUAGUGCUGCAGCUAACGCAUUAAGCACUCCGCCCGGGGAGUACGGUCGCAAGACUGAAACUCAAAGGAAUUGACGGGGGCCCGCACAAGCGGUGGAGCAUGUGGUUUAAUUCGAAUCAACGCGAACAACCUUACCAGGUCUUGACAUCCUCUGACAACCCUAGAGAUAGGGCUUUCCCUUCGGGGACACAGUGACAGGUGGUGCAUGGUUGUCGUCAGCUCGUGUCGUGAGAUGUUGGGUUAAGUCCCGCAAGAGCGCAACCGUUGAUCUUAGUUGACAGCGUUAGUUGGGCAAACUGAGGUGACUGCCGGUGACAAACGGAUGAUGGUGGGGAAGACGUCAAAUCAUCAUGCCCCUUACGACCUGCGCUACACACGUGCUACAAUGGACAGAACAAAGGGAUGCUCGACCGCGUGGUUUUAGCCAAUCCCAUAAAUCUUUUCUCAGUUCCCAAUUGCAAUCUGCAACUCGACUGCGUGAAGCUGGAAAUCGCUAGAAAUCGCGGAUCAGCAUGCCACGAUGAAAACUUUCCCGGGCCUUGUACACACCGCCGUUCACACCCACAAAACUUUGCACACCCCGAAUUCGGUGAGGGUAACCUUUAUGGAGCCCGCAG
rnacentral:rRNA from 1 species